UGUAAAUAAUAGCUUAAUCCUGUAAAUAUAUGGGAACGGAGGACCCGACUUUUGGGGUGAGUCCGGUUUUUAACGCCGGUAGGGUUUUAACCUUUCGGCCCGAACCCGUCAGCUAACUUCGUAGGCUUUAAAGAAAGGGGAG
rnacentral:sRNA from 19 species